rnacentral:rRNA from 1 species
GAUGAACGCUGGCGGCGUGCCUAAUACAUGCAAGUCGAGCGAACGGACGAGAAGCUUGCUUCUCUGAUGUUAGCGGCGGACGGGUGAGUAACACGUGGAUAACCUACCUAUAAGACUGGGAUAACUUUGGGAAACCGGAGCUAAUACCGGAUAAUAUUUUGAACCGCAUGGUUCAAAAGUGAAAGACGGUCUUGCUGUCACUUAUAGAUGGAUCCGCGCUGCAUUAGCUAGUUGGUAAGGUAACGGCUUACCAAGGCAACGAUGCAUAGCCGACCCGAGAGGGUGAUCGGCCACACUGGAACUGAGACACGGUCCAGACUCCUACGGGAGGCAGCAGUAGGGAAUCUUCCGCAAUGGGCGAAAGCCUGACGGAGCAACGCCGCGUGAGUGAUGAAGGUCUUCGGAUCGUAAAACUCUGUUAUUAGGGAAGAACAUAUGUGUAAGUAACUGUGCACAUCUUGACGGUACCUAAUCAGAAAGCCACGGCUAACUACGUG